UUAACUAUUGUAUAGUACUCAGACGACACUAACAUUCAGAGUUUGAAGGGCCUCUGGCGGGCACGCGCCAGCCGGGGCCGGCGGCCGAGCAGGGCCCGGCGGCCCGCCAAAGAAACGACGGUAACAAUAACAGUGGGUGGGAGAUCUACCCGGAAGGGCGAGAACUCUGUAAUGAUCCCUCCGCAGGUUCACCUACGGAGA
rnacentral:misc_RNA from 1 species